CAACGUAGGGCGCAAGGCGUUGUCCGGAAUUAUUGGGCGUAAAGAGCUCGUAGGCGGGUCUGUUGCGUCCGCUGUGAAAACUCGGGGCUUAACCCCGAGCCCUGCAGUGGAUACGGGCAGAACUAGAGGUAGGUAGGGGAGAAUGGAAUUCCGGUGUAGCGGUGAAAUGCGCAGAUAUCAGGAAGAACACCGGUGGCGAAGGCGGCUCUCUGGGCCUACCUGACGCUGAGGAGCGAAAGCGUGGGGAGCAAACAGG
rnacentral:rRNA from 1 species